rnacentral:tRNA from 1 species
GGUAGUGGCUCAGCGGUAGAGCCUUCGCCUAGCACUUCUGAGGCCCUGGGUUCGAUCCUCAGCACCA